rnacentral:lncRNA from 1 species
GAGUUAGUGAGCACCUUGCAGACACACAGGAUGUACUUCUCCAAGAUGGUGCAAUGGAGCAGAAACAGCUCAUGUCCCUAAUAAGAAGCCACGAGGGACCUCAUUGCUUAUUGAAGAGUCUUGCAGCAUACUUUGUUCGUUGGUCUUUUCUUAAUGGUUGGCUAUUUCUCCUCCAAUUCAAGGUAAGCAGAUAACUUGUUAUGAUUACUUAAAUUAAAGAGAAGAGGCCAAAGAGGAGAAAUGGGAGAUGAGGAGAAAGAAGAGUUGGGGGAGAUGGAGGGAUGGAAAGAAAGAAAGAGGAGAAGAAAAGAGGAUAAAGAAAAUGUGGAAUAAGAAGGGGAAGAAGAGGAGGAGAGGGAGGAGAUAGGGGGGUGAAGAAAGUGAGGAAGAGGAGGAGGACAAGGAGGAGGAUAGAAAGAAGGAGGAGGAAGAAGGAAGGAGAGAGGAGGUAGAGAAGGAGAAGGAGUUUGUCCCUUUACCCUCUCCAAGUUGAGAUCCCUACUUUCAGCUGAUCUCUCUAAACACAGUCAUUAGUCAAUUGGUUUUAACAUGGGCAUAAAGAUUGAUAUCUACCAUGGUGACAAAGAAGAAAUCCUUUAAUUCACACAAAUUAUAAGCUGAUGACUUGAUUAAGAAGCCUCAUUGUUUCAACUUUGGGAAAGUGAAGUGUUUUUUGAACUACUAACGUGAAAUGUAAGUCACAGUUGGUGACUCUCAUCUCUCUCUUGCUCUUUUCUUGCUUUCUCCCUUUGUCUUUACCAAUUUAGAACAUUGCAACUAUUAGGUACCAUUCAGAGUCAAUGCGGACCUGAACACACAACUGGCCACGGAGGGAGGCCCUUCAUAAACAGAUCUUGCUGAGUUUAAUCAGAAUCUGCCUCAUGCACAUAGACACAGAUCCUCUUAGAGAUGAAAAGGUUGUCUGUGCAUACUUACAUCAGGGUGUGGCUACACAUUGAAAUUCACUGGUCUUGAGAUCUUUCUGGUCCUAUAGGGUACUGAUGUAUGUAUAUCCUGGUCUAUUAAUCACACAUGCAAAAAGGAAUUUUAGCCUGCAGAGUUGGCAUUUCUUUUUAAGUUUGUUCUUGUUGUUUUUGGUUUUUUAACCAUGAUAAAAAACAUAAUGGAAGAAAUCACUAAGGUAUUAACAUCAACAGUCAAGAUGAUAAUCUGGUAAGUAUGCAAUAACAGCAGUAGCAGAGGAAGAAGGCUGGUGGUCACUCAUAGAACAAAGCAGGCGCCCUCAGGUGCAAGCCCUCUUUGCACUCUCCACAGUCUAUGGGAAGGAGAUGGGAAGGGAAUUGCACAUAAGCCAGACGAUUUCCAGGAAAACAGGCUUAACAGUUUGUAAAUAUAUAAAGCCUUUUGAGGACACAAAAUAAAGUGUGGUCUUUAAAGAAAAUAGGCUUAGUUACAGGAUGGGCAGACAGUGUUUUGAACACGGUUGGAUCAAAUGGUGAAGACCAUAUUUCAAAGAUGCAACUUCUGCGUGUUUAUGUCUAAGCAGCUUCUGGUCUUUAAAACUGUCUUUCAUACAAAUGUGAGAGAUGACAAACUUUAUUGGGGGUCCUGAAGCUUUUAGUAAGGGGGUGCCAUAUGGAAUAAGAAAGAAGAGUUAGGACUAAAGGAAGAAAGGGGAACAGCCAGAGCAGUGGGUGGAGCUACGGCAGGAACAGUGGGGGAAGGGAACUAAUGGAGAAUAAGGCAGAAUGACAAAGAUUUGUCUGAAGAUGCCACCAUGAAGCCCAUUUAUUGCAUGCUGACCUAAAGAUUAAUUUAAAAGAAAAGUCAAAGAUAGAACCCGUCAGAGCUUUGAUUUAAUAAUGUUUCCUGGACCAUCCCCUAGGUUAGCAGUCUGGGUUCAGCUGCAGAAGGCAGCUUUCUCAGCCACAUUCCACUCCAUACACUCACCACUGAGAGAGCCACAGCAAGGAGCCACAUCCCCAAGAAAAGUAAGAAUGAGCAGGACAGGACCUAGGGAAAUGUCAUUAUUUCUCCAAGUUCUUCUCCAGAGAAGCAAACUGUCAUUGAUAGGGAAGAACUAUGCAGGGACUGGGGACAUAGCAAGAUUGAAGCAGUGCUGACUCAGCAUGUAUGACAUCCUGAAGUCACAUAAAGUCAAGCACAGAAGAGUGGCACAUGUCAGUAGUUCCAGGACUAGAUGGAGGUAGGAGGGGAGGGAGGAGAUGCCAAGAUCAUACUUGGCUAGACAGUUUAGAGCCAACCUGGGCUAACACAAGAGCCCAAAGGACAAAGAUUAAUAAAUAGAACAGAUGAAGGCCAAAUAGAAACAAUGUAAAGGUUAUUGCAUUCUCUUUCCAUAUAACCUUCAAAAAACAUUUUUUAUUUAAGUCAGGGAUUGGCAGACUAAUUCAGAUUAUAAAUAUUAGUGGCUUUGGGGAGACAGAGAGAUGAGGUAAGGGGAAUUCGCCAUUCAGUUAGGACUUGGUUGAAGGUGUCUACAUAAACAGACAUUAAAGUUCUAACUGCCAGAACCUUAGGUUAGACCUUAUUUGGAAAAGGGUCAUUGCCAAUGUAAUUAGUGAGGAUGAGACAGACUGCAGUGGGGAAUGACGAAACUUUCCUCUCACUGGUUUCUUCACAUGAAGAUGCUAUGAAGGCAGAGCAACUGCAUCAUGAGUUGCUACAACAACAGACACUUCCAUGUGGUUCAGGAUGCCAAAGACUGACACCAACAAGCCAGGAGAGAAGCAUGACUCACAUUGUCACCAUCCUCCAAAAGGGGCCAUUACUCCCUUCUACCUCCCUCUCUGUAAAUCACACAAAGAGUAUUUUUUUAAAAACAUAGAAAAUGUAUUAUUUAAUAUUGUGUGUGUGCAUGUAUGCAUGUAUGUGUAUGUAUACACAUAUACAUUGUACACAAGUAGUUUGAAGAAUGUUAUAUCCCUUGAGUUGACUGUGUUCACCCUAGAAGCCAUAUGCCAUCCAACAAAACCCCAAGCACCUGGCAAAUUGCUAGUUGUUGGUAGGGGCAUUCAAAAAGACAUCCUAAUGUGAUAUAGGCUAAUUUCCUGUCAUUGUUCUUGGUUAUCUACCAGAUCUUUAAGGUGGGACCCUGUGGCUAAAGACACCACACACUUUACAUAUAGGACUUGAAUGAACUAAGCUAGAGUUGACCUGGAAACCUCGUUCCUGAGGAGUAUCACUCACAAUAUCUGAAGGUACUACACAAGCUGGAACAGAGAAAAACAAUCAGCAGUUCAUCUCAGCCAUAAGACCUAGAGAUCAUAGCAAUGACCAGAUAUCCCCAAGGGUCCACUAGUGCAACUGAUAUCUUGGGGCUAACCAACAUCUGUCUAUUUAAAAUUGACUCAUUAUUAGAGGGAACUCCGUGCCUGGUACUAUAGACCUAGCCAGCAAUCCAUGACUUGUGACAUCAUGAACCCAAAAGAAGAAUGUAAUACUGCUACUUUCCUAAACCAAUAUACUUUCACACUGCAUUAUAAAUACUGACCUUUAUACCCACAGAUAGUAUAGCUCUCACCCCUCAUCAAACAAGCUUCUUUUUGCAAUAGAUGAAGACCACUGAAGAAAUAUAUAACUGGUCAAAAUACAGAGAACAAUUAACUGUGAGGUGCCCAGCCCUACCUGAUGAAUCCACAACAUAACUCCUAUACUUCAGGUUCAGGAAAACGUGCAGAAGUGGAGGCAGAAAGACAGUGAGAGCCAAGAGAAAAGGACACCUGCUGUGAGACUGGGUGUUCUCUAUAUAACAGAGAAGCUGCUCCCUACAAAAUCUCAGUAAUAUUGUUUCCCAAACAAGACUUGUAAGAUGACAACAGCAGUGGACAUGCCAGUGUAGAUGGGGGAAUUGUUUGAGACCCCAUCCAUAGAUGAAGAUCUACAGGCAACUAAUAUCUUCAGAGAGAGGGAAAAUCAGUUUCCCAGGUAUAAGUCCCCUGGUAAGCUCUGACCAAAGUUGUCACUGCUAAGCAAAAGUGCAUAUGAAUAACAGUAAACAAACUAUAUCAACACUAUCAAUAAUUGAAGAAGAGGUCAUGAAUUUGAGAGAGAAUAUGUAAGACACAGGAGGAGUUGGAGAGGUAGAGGAAGUGGUGAAAAUUAUAUCAAUACAGGAUUCACGUAUGAAAUUCUGAACUAUAUUAAAGUUUAAAAUGGACAAGUACAGCACCCGCACACUUGCCUAUUUGAAGGAGGAUACAGUCCAGGAGAGUCAGUGAAUUUCUCACAAGUUAGACAGAAUGCUUCCUCUUGUGUGUGAAUACAGGAACUUACUUGGUAGGCUCACCAUCUUAAUGAACACAUGCCCUACCUGCUGCCUUAGCUUCUGCAGCUGGACAUAGCAGCAGUGAACGGCGUCCUUUCCUUUUCACUCUUGUCUGGGUUUCAUGAAUGGAUCAGUUCUCACUGUAGGUGGUAAUUCUCCCAAUAGCUGAACGUUUUUCCCCCUUAAGCAGAAACUUUCUUAUUUUUACUUAAAGGGAACAGGUUGUAGCUCCUCCUUGCUGUAUGGGACUUGUCGUCAUCCAGCAUCAUUGUCCUUACGUUCUUGAGCUAUUAGUGAAUGAAGUCAGGGCUGCUUCAGAGCAAGUGCCAUGGAUGUGCUGGACAAAGGGAUGCCUCGCCUAUUAGGUGGGAGGUCAGAGAACACCACAGAAAUUCCGCCUCAUAGCUAGGGGAGAGGAAGGUGUUCAGAACCUGUGAAUUGGCUAUAUUUAGACCUUUUAAUUCAGUAUUUUCAGACCAUAGGCAACCAUGGUUAACUGAAAUGAUAGAGGAGUAAGGUAUCGAGAAUAAAGAAACUGAUAUUCUGUCAAAUGGUCCACUUCAGGGUCCUUUACAUCCCCCAAAGCACUGCUUGCUGGAAUUAUUAAGCAGGGUGAGCAUUUGGAGUAGCUUUUACUUUGUUUAGCAGGCAACUGCUUUGAUAAACAUAAAAAAACUUUAUAUGAACCAUGAGAAAUAAUAGAUUAGAGGAGAAAUCAGUGUUGGAAAGAUUGAAAGUUUUAAAAAUGAAUCUAAGAAACAUGGCUAUAGAUAACAACAAACUGUAAUCAAGAGGAAUCGCACAGCAAAUUCACGGUAGCUGUAGGAACUUGAAUAACCUACCAUCUUCACUAGUCAUAUUUACUAUAAAGUGUCUCUCUCAAAACAGGCUAGUUCUCAAAUCAUAUUAGCCUUUUUUCAAACAUCAUGAGAUGCUGAAUAUAAUAUUUUUGUCAAAAUAAUAUGCCCUAUUUUUUUUUAUUAACUACAUGUUAGUUUCUCAAGAUGAACCACUGAAUCAUUUUCUCUAAGGAAAGCAAGGUUACAAACUUAUUUUAAAUCAAAUAUAUCAACAAUUUUAGUGUCUUUACUAUCACAGACUCAUAAGGGUGAAAUGGUCCCAGUGGCCACGUGUUCUUAGGAAUAAGAGUCUAGCUGGAGGAGUUAGCGCUGGGGCAUGCAGGCCUUGGACCCUGUAGCUUGGCCUCGCCUCCUGGCUUGCUGCUGUGUCAUGAUGAGUCCGGCGGUGGGCAGUAGCAUCUGUACACUUCCUCUGCUUUGAAACCCAUUGAGCCUCCCCCACCACGAUGGAUUGACUGUUCCCCAACCAUGCACCUGGAUAAACCCUUCCUUUAAGUUGCUUCCCCCGUGAUUCCAACCAUUAGAAAAGUAAUGGAGAAAAGGCAAGAAUACAAUUCUUGACUAGGCUUGCUGCCAAUGAUGUGUGUGCAAACACACCCAUUCCUGACAGUUCCUCCUAACACUAAUACCUAAAGAUGGUAAAUUUAAUAAUAAUAAUAAUAAUAACAACAAUAACAAUAAUAAUAAUACAUUAAUUUUGAUUGUGGGACAUACACAAAAAGAUUAUCUGUAUGACUCCCAUUCUACCACAUCUGUAGCGGAAUAAUAUCCAGAAGCAGGACACAGAAUGAUACUUUACAGGGUGAAACAUGGAUUCAUUGAGUAAACUAAACUGAGGCUGGUUUAGGAAAAUGAAAAGUUUUUUAAGCUGGAAGGAGGUGGACAUUCAUUAUAAUGUAAAUAUACAAAAUCCCAUUGUAUACCUCACUUAAUAAAUGCUGAAAAUUCUGUGAUUUGUAUUUUACUACACUUUAUAAGUAUCUGUGGGACAAAACAUAAAAGGAAGUUAGAUAUAAUUUAGGAGAUGGUGGACACCAAACAAGAGUACACUUGACCUGUUAACUUAACAAACGUUCUUUAAGCCUGUAGGCUCAUUCCCACAAAAUAAAUGUCCGUGGCAUGAAUACCACACACACUUCCAGGAGGUAUAGUUGAAUCAAAUAACAAAAUGAUUCUUCCCAGAGUCUUUUCUUUUUGGAGAUAUUCAUGAAAUCCAAUGAAGCCAUAGCAGCUGCAGUUUAUAAGUUAUAACAUAAACUUAUAAGUUUAUAGAUUUAUAAGACAAUUUAUACAUUCAGGGCUUUCACUAUUUAGCAAAAAAAAAAAAGUCUUAAUUUUACAUUAAAGUAAAAUUAUAGCCAAAUGGUGUGUGUGUGGUGGGGAGAUAUGGAAACAUCACAAUGAACUUUUCCCAACAUGUAAUGUGACACAUUUUUAUUUCUAGAACAUUAAAAUCUAACAGAACAAAGACCGUGACCACCCCAGACACACAUCCCACAACUCCAAGCUAUGUGUGUCCAGAAGAGAAACAAAACAAAAUUUAUGGCUUUUGCUCUAGUAAUUCCUGGUGAGUCAUAUCCAUAUAUUUCAACACCAGGACACUUCUUCAUUUUCCAGGUGACUCUUUAAAGCUGUUACUACAGAUCUUGAGAUAUCAUUCAUGAUUACCUUAAACCCCUAAGACCCAUUCAUUAACCCAAUGGUAUCAAAUAUUUCAAAUCCAAUCGGGUUCCUCCCUCCUACAAGUUGAUGAAAAUGAAAACACACAGAGUCACCUUAAUAAAAUGAAGAACUGAGUCAACAGAAUUGUUGCAGCAGGUGUGUGUUCUAACUGCACUGCCUGUGCUAUUGAGGUGACUCCAUGAGACAUUCUUCACUAUCCAUGAUAAAGAAUGGCUUUUCUGCAGGGAAUCUAUUAAUUUUUUUCUGUCACUUCCUCCCCUCCACUCCAAGCCACCCACUGAUCUAAGUCAUUCUUGAACACGAUUAUGAGUGUUUUCAUACAUAUGUGAUGCAUUGAGUAACUGAAUGGAUCCCAUCUGGGAGAUAUAUAAAGUGGACACUGAAGUGACUCAUCAGGCAGCUGCAGAGAAUACACAGAUGAGAAUGGCAGGGAACUCCACCAUGAAGAUGCUGAGCAUCAUCCACACCAUUUCCAGAAGAUGGAAAAAGCCACAUGACUGUGGAACACCACAAAAUUGAGGAAGAGUUUGAAGCUCACGGCUGCCAGAGUGAAACCUUGGGCUCUGGUAUUAGCUGCCUUGUACAUGGCUGAUUGGAACACAAAGGAAAAUAAUCUUGUAAGUUGUU